CAGAUACAAGAGAUUGACAGGCUGAUGAAUUACAUACAACUGAUCGAUAAGAAGAUGAAAAUGAGGGGUUGAAAAGAGGUUCUGGUUGAUUGUAACACAAUCUACAAGGUUGGCAUUGAACCCAAAUGACGACAAUUAACAACACGUACUGGUCAUAUAGUCAGAGACGGAUUCAGGAUUUUUGAAGGAUUUAUACCUUCAAGAUUGAAGUGUUUUGAGUGGGAGAAGUAGUUCAUUAUCUGCAUGACCAAAUGCUCCAUUUCCAGAAGAAGUGAAGAAUAGUACAAAAAGCAGAAGACAAAGAAUGGA